UACGGGGGGGGCAAGCGUUGUUCGGAUUUACUGGGCGUAAAGGGCGCGUAGGCGGUCAGCACAAGUCAGUUGUGAAAUCUCUGGGCUUAACUCAGAACGGUCAACUGAUACUGUCGGGCUAGAGUGCAGAAGGGGCAACUGGAAUUCUCGGUGUAGCGGUGAAAUGCGUAGAUAUCGAGAGGAACACCUGCGGCGAAGGCGGGUUGCUGGGCUGACACUGACGCUGAGGCGCGAAAGCUAGGGGAGCGAACGGG
rnacentral:rRNA from 1 species